rnacentral:lncRNA from 1 species
GGGGCCGGAAGACCCUCCCCCCGCGUCUUCAGAGGAGCGCUGUUUCUGGAGGAGUUAGGGGAAGGAGGCUGCCUGGCCCAAAUUGGAUCUCAGCGCCUGGGAGCUCCAACUUUAGCAAGUGCGAAAUCCUGUCUUCGGUUUUGGAAUUUUCAUCCGCACAGACUAUAUCAGCCACGGAUAGGAUAUGUGAGAAUACCAGCAUGUCAAGGCUGGGAAUCAUCCUUAGGCAUCACCUAGCCAGUCCUGCCUCUCAUUUUAAGGUGAUCACAGGAUCUGGUUUGCCACUGAAAGGAAUCUUGAUGCUGACCACUUCACCUCGGAGAGCAUGAACUGCUCCCAUGCCUUCAAGAGUUUUAGUGGGUAACCAGGAUGGAACUGCGGUGUUGCUUGCAGGAGAAGCUUACUACUGGUUUCUACUUCUCCAACCUCAUUGGUGGCUAUGCAGGCACUGUCUCCAGACUGUCUAUAUUCAACCCAGUAUCCAAGAAUUUCUUUACCACCAUCACAUUCAGGUUUCUCCCACUGUAGAGUGACACUAUCUUUGGAUAUUGAAAGAAUCUCAAGUUCUCCUGGUUGGCUUGGUUUAUCUGAAAUAUUUUAAAAUAAUGAAAAGGGAGUCAGCUUUACUGGUGAAAUAAAAGGACCAAACAU